AUGUAGUGUAAUGGAUGGCGCGUUGGACUUCUAAUCCAAAGGUCGUGGGUUCGAAUCCUACCUGGAAUG